AACUGUACUUAUAUGCUUAUACCCCAAAUAGAUGCACACACACAUAUAUAUAUAUAUACACAUAUAUGUGUGUGUGUAUGUAUGUAUAUAUAAUAUUAAAA
rnacentral:miRNA from 1 species